rnacentral:antisense_RNA from 1 species
GUUGAAGAACAUGUCACACCAGCACACGCCGCCGUCGCCAGCAGCAGGAAGUUGUUGAUUUGCAGCACAUUCACACUUUCUGAUGCAGUCAGAGCUCACUGCUUCUCAGAAAAGAUCCACUCAGAAGGAACUCCAGUUUCUGAUGUUUAUUUUACUUUUUCUUCCCCCCGAACAAGGCACAAAAGGGGAAAAUGAACUGGACCCAAGAAAAAAAAUCAAGGGUCUUACUGACCCCAUCACACACCUCCUCUAAUGUCAUGGCUGGAAGGAAAUAAGAAGCCCUUCCUCGGGAGAAUGCCAGAGGCCCUUGAUUGAAGUCAAGGACGUGAGGGAUGACUUCCUCCCAGUCCCCAGCCCUCACCUUCGCCUUGCGUUUGCUGUCGUCCAUGAUCAUCUUCCAGUCCGAGCCGUUGUUGCUGUACCCGAUCUUGAACUUCCUCAUGAACACCUUGUUCUCUCGGUGCUUCCCACCCUGAAUGAUGAUGCCCCUCACGAUCUUCUCCUCCCCCAGGUCUAUUUGGAGCCACUCAUUGACAUAGGAAUGAGGUGCAGGUGGCAGUGCCCAGCCAGAGCGACUGGUUACCAGGCGGAUGUUUUCAGGCAUCCAGUUUCUGUCCCCUUGGUUGGAUGAUGUGAUCUGGGAGUCAGAAAUAAGUCCAGACACCAUACCCAACAUUCCAGAGCAAGGAUAAUCUGGGAGGUGAAAUGAAACAGAUAAUGUAAAAUGAUUUUCUGGGUGACUCCACGCUGAGAAAUAAAAUACAACAUAUAGAAUAAAGA